UACGGAGGGUGCAAGCGUUGUUCGGAUUUAUUGGGCGUAAAGCGCGUGUAGGCGGUCUUCUAAGUCUGAUGUGAAAGCCCUGGGCUCAACCCAGGAAGUGCAUUGGAUACUGGAAGACUUGAAUACGGGAGAGGGUAGUGGAAUUCCUAGUGUAGGAGUGAAAUCCGUAGAUAUUAGGAGGAACACCGGUGGCGAAGGCGGCCCGCGUGGGCAGGAAGGCUCGCAAGAGCCGGCUGACGCUGAGGCGCGACGAGCG
rnacentral:rRNA from 1 species